GAGUUUGAUCAUGGCCAGGAUGAACGCUAGCGGCAGGCUUAACACAUGCAAGUCGAGGGGUAGUUAUCUUCGGAUAAUGAGACCGGCGCACGGGUGCGUAACGCGUAUGCAAUCUACCUUGUACAGGGGGAUAGCCCAGAGAAAUUUGGAUUAAUACCCCAUGGUAUAAUUGAAUGGCAUCAUUUGAUUAUUAAAGUUCCAACGGUACAAGAUGAGCAUGCGUCCCAUUAGCUAGUUGGUGUGGUAACGGCACACCAAGGCAACGAUGGGUAGGGGUCCUGAGAGGGAGAUCCCCCACACUGGUACUGAGACACGGACCAGACUCCUACGGGAGGCAGCAGUGAGGAAUAUUGGUCAAUGGGCGCAAGCCUGAACCAGCCAUGCCGCGUGCAGGAUGACGGUCCUAUGGAUUGUAAACUGCUUUUGUACAGGAAGAAACACUCGGAGGUGUCCGAGCUUGACGGUACUGUAAGAAUAAGGAUCGGCUGACUCCGUGCCAGCAGCGCGGUAC
rnacentral:rRNA from 1 species